rnacentral:lncRNA from 1 species
GGCAUAUUAUGUGAAUUGAUGAUGAAAUGAAAUGAGAUACAAUAUGUGAAUUAGUUAUAUCAUGUAAUUCGAUCAUUGGUACUCUAUUAAAUGUUCGAUCAGUGUCAGAUAUAGUUAGCAUGUCAUAGGAUUAGAUUGUGUUCAAGUUAUACUUUGGUUAUACGUCGAUAAGCACUGGGCGCAUUUUACUUCGAAUGUUCCGAUGAGUGUUGAGCACACUUUUACUUCGGUUAUACCAAUGAGUGUUUGGCACAAUGUAUACUUCAGACGUUCUGAUGAGGCACUAGGUGUCAGAUUGGUGUGUUGGCCGGAUGAUCCACGUAUCUAUCCCGAGUCUGAGUUAGGUUAAUAGGGAUUAUAAAAUAUGAACUUGAUAAAUGAUAGUGAAUUGAGAUGAUACCAAUGAGUGUUUGGCACAAUGUAUACUUCAGACGUUCUGAUGAGGCACUAGGUGUCAGAUUGGUGUGUUGGCCGGAUGAUCCACGUAUCUAUCCCGAGUCUGAGUUAGGUUAAUAGGGAUUAUAAAAUAUGAACUUGAUAAAUGAUAGUGAAUUGAGAUGAUAAUAUGAAACAGUACCAUAUGUGUAUAAAUGUGAAAUGUGACUAAAGAUAGCAUGUGAAAGAUCAUGUGAUCCGGUUAUAAACGAGCCCGGGGGCCAAAUCAAACAUAAACGAGUCAACAGACUUGAGAGAGAUAAUUGAAUCGUGAAAUGAAAGAUUAGAUGACAUUGGUUGAAAAUGAGAAUUGAGUACAUAUUUUAGAUGUGUGUGUGUAUAUAUAUGUGUGUGAAAUUGAAAUGGAAUUGAUUGUAUCUUUGUUAAUAGAAAGUAUGGUAAAGAAUGUUUCAAUUGAUUAUCAAAUAAGCUAGUGUAUGAGAUUGACAUUUGAGUAAUGAACAUGUAAAUUGACAUGGUUGAAUCAUAGCAUUGAACUUUUAUUGUGAUUAUACUCAUUUUAUGACUUGAAUCAUGAAAGUACCACUGAGCUUUUUCACCCAACGUAUAGUUUGUUUAUUCUGAUUAUGCUCAUUUUCUUGACUUAAUUUAUAUCGAGUUGACUUAUGAUACUAAUGCAGAUACACGCUUAAAUAAUAAUAUAAACAAUCUUUUAUAAUACAUAAACUAAUAAAUACACAUAUUGAUAAACUAAUAAAUAGACAUGUAAAAUCUAACUUGAAUUUUAAAAUUUAACGUGAGUAAUGACCAAAAAUAAAAAUUUAUGUGAUUAAUACGAAUCCAAAUAUGAUUCAAUAUAUAAUAUUUGAUUAUAAAAUCAAUUACUCGAAUCAACUUAUCCUGAAAAUUAUCUGAAUUAAAAAUUAAUUUUAACUCAAAGUGACUCGAGCAAAUAACUUGAAAUAACCUAAGUUUAAGUGCCAAUCGUGUCAUACAUAAAAAAAAAAUUGUCAAUUAUGUCAAGACUUAUUGAGAAUUAUGGUUAAAACUCUCAUCUAGCAUUUAGAUAACACUAGUUCGAUAAAAAAAAUUAAUGUCAACCAUAAAUGACAAAACUUGAAAUUAUCGAAACUCGAAAUGACCAUACUCAACAAACUUCACUAAUAAUCUCAAAUAAUCCGAAUCCAAAAUAACUUAAAUUUAAAACAACUCAAAUCCAAAUCUUACUCAAAUAUUGAAAUUAAAAAAUUUUAAAAUUCAAAUUAACUGUUUAAAACCAGCCCUACCAUCUAAUAAACAAAUCAACUAAUAAAAUCUUAUUCUCUUUCAUGCAUAUUCCCAUGAAAACUUCUAAAAGUUGUAGUGAUUCUCACUCUUAAAAAAUACCAAAAAAGAAAAAUUAAGUGUAAUAGUAAAGUAUAUUACAUUCUUAAAAUUAUAAUUCAAGUUUGAAUUUUAAAAACGAGAUUAAUGAGAUAAAUAUCCACAAACCUCGAAAGAAAUAUUUUCCGUAGGUCAUAAAAUCAACAAAGAAGUCGAUUCCAUAAAUGUGUCUCCUUGCUCUUCCCCUUUCGUUAUUCUCCCCAAUGAAGCAUAAAUGUUGAAUGUAUGACAUUCCUCUUUAAAUAGAAAAGAUUAAAAAAGGGUUUAGGAGAAUAAUGUAAUUUCUGAGUAUGAAAG